GAUGAACGCUGGCGGCGUGCCUAAUACAUGCAAGUCGAGCGAACAGACGAGGAGCUUGCUCCUCUGACGUUAGCGGCGGACGGGUGAGUAACACGUGGAUAACCUACCUAUAAGACUGGGAUAACUUCGGGAAACCGGAGCUAAUACCGGAUAACAUGUUGAACCGCAUGGUUCAACAGUGAAAGACGGUCUUGCUGUCACUUAUAGAUGGAUCCGCGCGGGAUUAGCUAGUUGGUAAGGUAACGGCUUACCAAGGCAACGAUGCGUAGCCGACCUGAGAGGGUGAUCGGCCACACUGGAACUGAGCCACGGUCCAGACUCCUACGGGAGGCAGCAGUAGGGAAUCUUCCGCAAUGGGCGAAAUCCUGACGGAGCAACGCCGCGUGAGUGAAGAAGGUCUUCGGAUCGUAAAACUCUGUUAUUAGGGAAGAACAAAUGUGUAAGUAACUAUGCACGUCUUGACGGUACCUAAUCAGAAAGCCACGGCUAACUACGUG
rnacentral:rRNA from 1 species